rnacentral:rRNA from 1 species
GGCGGACGGGUGAGUAACGCGUAAGAACUUGCCCUUUAGACUGGGAUAACAGAGGGAAACUUCUGAUAAUACUGGAUAAGUUAGUAUAUCGCAUGAUAUGCAAAUGAAAGCUACGGCACUAAAGGAGAGCUUUGCGCCCUAUUAGCUAGUUGGUAAGGUAAGAGCUUACCAAGGCGAUGAUAGGUAGCCGGCCUGAGAGGGUGGACGGCCACAAGGGGACUGAGAUACGGCCCUUACUCCUACGGGAGGCAGCAGGC